GAUGGUUCGCUACUCUCUUGACCCAGAAAACCCCACAAAAUCAUGCAAAUCAAGAGGUCCAAACCUUCGUGUUCACUUUUAGAACACCUAGGAAACUGCCCAGGCCAUCAAGGGUAUGCAUAUCCACAAAGCCACCAAGUAUCUGAAGGAUGUCACUUUAAAGAAGCAAUGUGUGCCAUUCCGGAGGUAUAAUGGUGGAGUCGGUAGGUGCGCCCAGGCCAAACAGUAGGGCUGGACACAGGGACAGUGGCCAAAAAAA
rnacentral:lncRNA from 1 species